CCUACGGGAGGCUGCAGUGGGGAAUAUUGGACAAUGGGGGCAACCCUGAUCCAGCCAUGCCGCGUGUGUGAAGAAGGCCCUCGGGUUGUAAAGCACUUUCAGUGAGGAAGAACGCCUGGUGGUUAAUACCCAUCAGGAAAGACAUCACUCACAGAAGAAGCACCGGCUAACUCCGUGCCAGCAGCCGCGGUAAUACGGAGGGUGCGAGCGUUAAUCGGAAUUACUGGGCGUAAAGCGCGCGUAGGUGGCUUGAUAAGCCGGUUGUGAAAGCCCCGGGCUCAACCUGGGAACGGCAUCCGGAACUGUCAAGCUAGAGUGCAGGAGAGGAAGGUAGAAUUCCCGGUGUAGCGGUGAAAUGCGUAGAGAUCGGGAGGAAUACCAGUGGCGAAGGCGACCUUCUGGACUGACACUGACACUGAGGUGCGAAAGCGUGGGUAGCAAACAGGAUUAGAUACCCUGGUAGUC
rnacentral:rRNA from 1 species